AUGAACGCUGGCGGCAUGCCUAACACAUGCAAGUCGACGGGUCAAGAGGAUAUGCAAAUAUAAUUUUGAUCAGUGGCGAACGGGUGAGUAACACGUAAAUAACCUGCCCCUAAGAAAGGGAUAACUUUGUGAAAACGAAGCUAAUACCAAAUGGUCUUGCGAAAGCAAGUAAAGGCGAAAGCGCUUAGGGAGGGGUUUGCGGUUCAUUAGCUAGUUGGAGAGGUAACGGCUCACCAAGGCAAAGAUGAAUAGCCGGACUGAGAGGUUGUACGGCCACAAUGGAAAUGAGAGACGGUCCUUACUCCUACGGGAGGCAGCAGUGGGGAAUAUUGCGCAAUGGGCGAAAGCCUGACGCAGCAAUGCCGCGUGAAUGAAGAAGGCCUUCGGGUUGUAAAGUUCUUUUAGUAGGGAAGAAGAAAUGACGGUACCUACAGAAAAAGCCACGGCAAAUUACGUGCCAGCAGCCGCGGUAAGACGUAAGUGGCAAGCGUUAUCCGGAAUUAUUGGGCGUAAAGGGCGUGUAGGCGGUAUAAUAAGUCAAAGGUUAAAACACCAUGCUUAACGUGGUAUAGCCGAUGAAACUGUUAUGCUGGAGUAUAGGAGAGGAAGAUGGAAUUAUCACUGUAGCGGUGGAAUGCGUAGAUAGUGAUAGGAAGGCCAACGACGAAGGUAAUCUUCUGGACUAAUACUGACGCUGAGGCGCGAAAGCUAGGGGAGCAAACAGGAUUAGAUACCCUGGUAGUCCUAGCCGUAAACGAUGGAUACUAGGUGUGAGGAAUAACAUUCUUUGUGCCGAAGCAAACGCAUUAAGUAUCCCGCCUGGGGAGUACGAUCGCAAGAUUGAAACUCAAAGGAAUUGACGGGGACCCGCACAAGCGGUGGAGCAUGUGGUUUAAUUCGAUGGUACGCGAGGAACCUUACCAGAUCUUGACAUUAAUAGUGAAUCUUUUAGAGAUAGAAGAUGGCCUCGCAAGAGGAAGCUAUAAACAGGUGGUGCAUGGCUGUCGUCAGCUCGUGCCGUGAGGUGUUGGAUUAAGUUCCGCAACGAGCGCAACCCCUGCAUUUAGUUGCUACGAAAGAGCACUCUAAAUGGACGGUCUGCGAGAGCAGAAGGAAGGUGGGGACGAGGUCAAGUCAUCAUGCCCCUUAUGAUCUGGGCUACACACGUGCUACAAUGGAGAGUACAGAGGGAAGCGAAACAGUGAUGUGGAGCAAACCCCAAAAAGCUCUUCACAGUUCGGAUUGCAGUCUGAAACUCGACUGCAUGAAGUCGGAAUCGCUAGUAAUCGCGAAUCAGCAACGUCGCGGUGAAUACGUUCUCGGGUCUUGUACACACCGCCCGUCACACCACGAGAGCUGCUUAUGCUUGAAGUUACUGUUCCAACCUGCAAAGGAGGAAGGUACCUAGAGUGUAGGGAGUGAUUGGGGUU
rnacentral:rRNA from 1 species